CGGGUUCUGCAUCGUCUCCUUGACUAUCAGAGAUUUGUCCCGCUGCGAAGUUGGCUGCCCAAUCGGCAAGAAGAUAAGCGGACCAGAUGAGAGAGAGUAGUACCUUUCUGGAUGUGCGUUUCCUUUGAGGUGCAAAGAAAAUGAGAAACGAUUGGAGGCUGAGACUGAAGAUUAAGGUAGUUCGGAUACUCCAUGCGUCCCAUAUGUCUUUGAUAGGCUUAGGGAUUGCGUCCACCAUCUUGAAACAGAGUUAUUUCCUAAUUUGUUGGAACAAACAAGAAAUUAUGGUCUUUGAGACACAACACAUAUGCAUCUAAAGAGGUUUUGGACUUGUUUCUUUGUCUGUUUAAUUUUUUUUUUUUUUGGUGUUCAGUUAUUCUGUGCAGACAGCCAUUGGAAGCCUCUUGGAAGAGACCUGAGGUUAGUCAAACACUGUUCAUGUCGUCUUUCUUUUAUGUUUUUUAUUUGGCUUUACAUUUUGCAAAAACAUUUAUUUUUCAUGAUAUUUUUAAAAUUGUAUUAUUCCUGCUUUUUGUUUUCGUUCUUUAUACUAAUUUGUCAUUUCAUAAAAGGUUAAAACACUGAUUUAAACAAAACUCCCACUGGUUGGUAAAGGUGAGUAAAGUUCAAAAAAAAAAAGAUAUGAAUAGUGUGGAAAGGGAUAUAUGCUAUAUUUAUUUAUAUUUAAAAUACUUAGAGCUCUAUUUUAUAUCAAUAUGUUUGGAUCCUUGUGUAAAUUUUCUGUCUUGUUUUUGUUUCUAUAUAUCCUUAACGAAUCUCCGAUCAAAUACUCUCCAUGCGUUCCUAAAAAAUUCUUAUUCUAGAGAAAAUUUUUGUUUUAGAAAGAUACAUAUUUUAUACUACCUCCAUUCCUAAAUGUAGGAUAUUUUAAAGAAUUUCGAUGUUUCAAUAUAUAAGAUGUUUUCAUUUUUCUAGGUAAACUUUUAUUUUAUUAAAAAAUGUGCAACCAAUCAUAUUUGAUAAUCCAUUUUGUAAUCGGUUGAAUAACAUUAAUUUAUAGUUUUAAUGAUAUUUUCUAGACAAAACAAUGAUUUUUUAAAUAUACGUGUUUUUACUUAAAGAUCUUAUAUUUAGGAACAGAUGGAGUAUUUCCAAUGUAAUUUUUGUCAACUAAUAAUGAGAAAUUGUGAAGUUCAAGAAUGUUAAUUGCAUUUUAAAAAAUUUUAUUGGUUUAAUAAUAUAGAAAAUAUAAAAUUAUAAAAAACUAUGUAUUUAUAGAUACGUUUUCAUUUAUUUUAUUAAAAAUUGUGAAAAUUCUAAAAUAUUGAUUUUUUAAGAACAGAGAGAGAGUAGAUAUCAAGUACAGUAUGAGGUUCUGUAGGCCUGCUUUGUAAAUUGGAAUGAGAACAUUUGUUUCGUUCCCAUUCCCAGACAGAACAAAUUCUGCCCAUGUGAACACUAGUUACUUCUCCAAAAAAAACUAGUAAAAGUACAUUCAACCUCUAUAUUUAUAAUCUAACUAGAUUCUACUCUUUGAUUUUAAAGAGUGAAAUUAUAAUUUUUACAUAAUUUAUUUUAAUAAUUUUAAAUAAUUAGUUUAUCUUUUAAACAUAUUUGUAAACUGAUUUUUAUUUCUGUUUCUGAUAAAAUUCUUUUUAUUUAAUUUAAAAACAUGGGAUUUUAAAAUGUAAUAAACUCAAUUUAUAUUUUAAGACAAAAACUGAGUCUAUAUUUAGGUAUAUAUAUUUCAAUAAUUGUUACAAACUUAAUUAGUUAUUUAAACAAUAAUAAUUAAAAUAUCUAUAAGAUUUGGUUAUAAAAAAUAAGAAAUAUUCAAAAUUAAAAUUAUAUAUUCCCUGUUACAAUAAUAUAUAUUAUGUGUGAUGGUGUUUUCAUUAAAAUUUAUAAUUUGAAAAUAAAGACUAAACUAAUUUUAAUGAAAUGUAAACUAACUAAAAUUUGAAUAAAAUAAAUUGUAAAUCACACAUGGAAAUAAGGUUGUUUAUAUAUUAUGUUUCAAUUUUAAUUUUAAUAAGAUAGAUUCAAUAAUAUUAACAUCAUUUCUAAUCUUUUAUUAUAUUUUAUUUUAAAAGUUGGUGUAAAUGUCAAAGUUAAACGACAACCAUGUUAAUAUGAAAUUCCAUUAUUUUCAAAGGACCCUACUUGGAAGCAAUUAUUACAAUAUCAGCCAUAACUUUACAUCGAAAUAAGAUAUGCUUUUGUAGUCUAACAAGACUUUUCCCACGUCUUGUGAUGUGACCGCACAGGUGAUUAUUGUUUUGUUUGUUUUUAGUUUUUAGUUUUUGGUUCCUAGUUUUUAGUUUUUGGUUUUUAAAUUUUAGUUUUUAUUUUUUGGUUUUGCGGUAAAUUUUGGCUUUUUGAAAAUCAUGAGUGUUUUAGAUUUUGGUUUUUAGUUUUUGAUUUUUGCUUUUAAAAUUAAUAAAAUAUUUUUAUACAAAUAAAAUAUUUAUUCUGAAAAAUAAAAUAUAAAAUACACACAUCAAAACACACAUAAACUUAUUUAAUAAAAUUAUUUUAAAUAACAUUUGAGGUGUGAAAAAUAUUUAAAUAAGAACUGCAAAAAACAAUAUAAAUUAUCAACAAUAUAAUUUUUUGUAAUGACUAACUUCAAAUAAUUAAUUUUAUUUCUUUUGAUAAGUUAAAAUUUUUAUAGGAGUUAUUUUGCUUACAUGAGUUUAUUAUUAGAUAAAAUAUCAUUCAAAUAUUAUAAUAAUAUUAGUACAAUAAGCUUUGAUGAUUAGUAUAGAUGAAAUUUACUAUAAAUUAAAAAAGUGUCCAACAGUUUAUUAUUCGAUAAAAUAUUAUUCAAAUAUUGUUAUAGUUUUGGUAAAACCUGUGUUAUAAUAAAAACAGAUGUAAAAUACCUUACAUAGAUAUGCUCAGACAUUAUUAUUAGCAAUUAAAAAUGCCUUAGUAAUGGGUCUUACGUAUUAUAAUCAUAGGUAUUACCCAAAUCAUGACUUACGUAAGUUGUAUAUAUAUGUAAUAAUAGAUAAACGUAAAAGAAGUUUCAAGCAACAAAACUACAAAAAACUGAUUUUUGGUUUUUGUUUAGAAGUUGCCAGUUAUUUAAAAAACUAGUUUCCUUAUAUUUUAAAAAAACUAUUUAUCAGAAAAUUUGAUUGGGUGAAAAAUGGUUUUUGGAGAAACAAAAACCAAAAGCUAUUCCAAAAACCAGAAACAAUCGACCUGGCAAUGGCAGGAAACCUACUUGGAAGCAAUUAUUACAAUAUCAACCAUAACUUUACAUCGAAAUAAGACAUGCUUUUGUAGUCUAACAAGACUUUUCCCACAUCUUGUCAUGUGACGACACAAUUGCAGGAAACCAUGUUGGCAUUCAUAGGCUGUAAUGUGAUCCAGAACAAAUGCAGAAAUAAUGCAGGAUAUUUAAUUUGCAGAUAGAACUGCAUUUGUUACCCAUUCAUGUUUAUAAUGCAGAACUGGAAAAGGUAAAAAAAAACUAAAAACUGACCUGAAUGCAGAUUGGUUUUGUCUUUGAUUAUUUGUCCCGCAGAUUAUAGAAGAAAAGGUUCUGGCGAGAGGCAGAGGGGCAAAAUGGCCUGAUUUUUUUUUUUUAAGUUCCUUGAUUAUAAUCACUCUUCAUUAUUACACUUGAUUUUAUAGGCCUCGAACGGAUCGGGUAUCCGGGAAAUUUUAAGGUAUCCGGAUCCGGAUCCUUAUCCGGCGGAUCUAUAAUUUUACUAUCCUUAUCCGGAUCCGCGGUUCUCGGAUUCCGGACCUUCUAAAAAUUGUAAUAUCCGGCGGAUAUCCGGAUCCGAAUUUAGAUCCUUAAAAUAAAUAAAUAAAAUAAUAUUAAUAUAUAUAAAAUAUUAACAAUAAUUUAAAACAAAAAAUAUAUAAUGUUUUGAAUUAUUUCUAGGGUUUUCUGCAAAAAACCCUCAAUGUGGUUUUUUUUUUCAAAUUAAUCCGCGAACUCAAAAACCCACGGGUCAACCCUCCAAGUGCCAGUCAAACCGCAAUAUAACCCUCGGCCGUAUUUAUGUGUAUUUGACUGUGUAUAAUUUUAACAUUUUUUCAAUAAUAGGUCGUUUUGGCGCUAAUUUUUUAAUGAAAAAAAUUUGUUGAACUCGUGGUUUGAAAUUUGAACCUUAAAUACCAUGUGCAUGCUAUAUAACCAUCUCGGCCAACAAAUAUAUUUGUUUACUUAACAAACGCAAUUAUAUAGAUUUCUAAAACGAAAUGACCUUGUUUUUCUCGGACAUGGGAGCUUGCGUAAAUGCACAAUGAAGGUGGAGUUCAACAAAUUUUUUUCAUUAAAAAAUUAGCGCCAAAACGACCUAGUAUUGAAAAAAUGUUAAAAUUAUACACAGUCAAAUACACAUAAAUAUGGCCGAGGGUUAUAUUGCGGUUUGACUGGCACUUGGAGGGUUGACCCGUGGGUUUUUGAGUUCGCGGAUUAAUUUGCAAAAAAAAAUCACAUUGAGGGUUUUUUUGCAGAAAACCCUUAUUUCUACGUAUAAAAUUACAAAACUUACGUAAAAUUUACAUAUACUAUUAUAAAAAUGAAAAUAUAUUAAAUAAAAUUAGUUUUUAUAUAUAGAUAUUACUAUUUUUGAAAUAGUUAUUAAUAAAACUUACGGAUCCAGAUAUCCGGACUAAAAAAUCAUGAUAUCCGGAUCCGGUUUUAGCGGAUCCAACAUUUUACAAUCCGGAUCCGGAUUAGGCCCCUCCGGAUAUCCGGAUUUUCAGAUGGGAUCCGGAUCAAAUCUCAGAUCGAAUCCGGAUCUCGGAUAAAAUUCUCGGGCCUAUUCAUUUACUUAACAAAUUAAUUGUUUUCUCAGAAAUAAAGUUUGUUAAUUUUUUCAUUAUAAGUUAUAGUACUGGACAUAUUUUUUUUAUUACAAAUAAAAAAUGAUAAUUACCUUGUGUCUAAUUAGUUUUUAUAUUUUCAGGUUGUCUUUACAUCAAUUAAAAAGAAUUCAAAAAUUCAAGGAGUAUUUUAAUUAGCUCAUUAAAUAAAUUCUAAAACAUUUAGGAUGUUUAAAAUAACCUAUAAAUACUUUUAUCUUCUAUUUAUUUUUUAAAAUUCACAAACAGUUGCAUAAUUUAUUUUAUUAAAAAAACUAAUUAAAUUAUAAAUUAACUAUAAUUUUUAAACAUUAAUACAAAAUUUAUAUAAAACUUCAUGCACGCAUAUAUAUAAACAAAAAAAUAUUUUUUUUUAGUUUUAUGCAUUUACUUUCAUAUUUGGUAAUUCAUAUUUAACUGCAUAUAAUUAUAAAUUUUAAAUUUUAAUUAUAAUUACUUAAUAUCAAUGAAACAACACAUUUUUCUUACAUAUACAUUUAUGCAUUUUUAUAUUUUUAAAUUUAAAAUAAAGGUUUUGUUGAUACAAUAACAUAUAUAUAUAUAUAAUUUGACAAUGUCAGUUCUAUAGGUUAACCAAACGGUAAUAAAAAACCAAAAAUUGAAUAAAUAUAAAAAAAUAAGAACAAAACAAGAAUAUUCUUUAUAAUUUUUGUAAUUUUGAUGAUUUUUCAUAUAAUUUUAAAAUCACUAUAUUUAUUAAAAUGAUGAUAUUUAUUGUUAUUUUGUCAACUUGAUAUUUAUUGCUUAUAUAUAAUAAGUUUAAUUUUAUUUAAAAUUUUAAUUUUUAUGAAAAAAUAAAAUAUUUAAUUAAAUAUAAUAAUUUAUUAAAUUAGAUUGAUCUGCAUUUGUUCUGUUUGAUAUGUAUGAUCUACAUUUCUUCUGUUUGAUCUGCAUUUUUGUCUGUAUUUAUUCAUCUGCGUUAUCUAUUCGAAGUCAUAGUCCAUUGCUACGCAUUUAAUAUUACCCGGACAGUUGGACUAUUAUUGCUCUUGAGCCGGAUACUUGGAUGUAUACUUUAAAAAGUUGCAUAAAUAAAUAGUUAUUCCUGGGUACACCUCCUAGGUUAAAAUUUUUAGGUUCACCGACUAAUAGAAUUUCAUUAUUUCAAAUUCGAUAUUUAAAAAAAAAAAAAAAAUAUUGUCAAAUUAUAUUAUGUUUUUAAAAUAAAAAGGUAAAAAAAAAAUAGUAGUUACAGAAAAAAAAAUUAAAAAAAAUCUUUUUAACGUCGUCAGCAAAACACUAAACCCUAAAUCUUAAUCCCAAAACCCUAAAUCCUAAAUUCUUAACCCUUGGGUAAACCCUAAACCCUUAAAUAAACUCUAAACCCUUGGGUAAACUCUAAACCCUUGGGUAAAUCAUAAACUCUCGGAUAAAUCCUAAACUCUAAAUAAAAACACUAAACCCUAAGACUUUAAACCCUAAAUCCUAAAUCCUAAACCCCAAACCCUUGAGUGUUUUAAUGUUUAGUGAUUUUGAUUUAGAGUUUAAGAUUUAUCCUAGAGUUUAGGGUUUACCCAAGGGUUUAAGGUUUAGGAUUUAGGGUUUAGGGAUUAGGAUUUAGGCUUCGAAUGGUGACUGCGGUUUGAACGGUGCGGAACAAGCGGUUCAACUGCGGUGCGGUUUUAACAGUUAUAAAAACGUAUCGAUAUAUGGUAUACGUUAAUAUUUUUGUUACUGUUAACUGCGGUGCGGGUCGGAACGGUUAUAAACAUUCGAAGCCUUAGAGUUUAAUGUUUUGCUGACGACGUUAAAAAUAUUUUUUUUGUAAAUACUACUAUUUUUUAUUUAUUUUUUUACAAUUUAAUUUUAAAAGAUAAUAUAAUUUGAUAAUAUUUUAUUUUUUUUAAUAUAUCGAAUAUGAAUUAACGUGGGGGUGGGGUAAAGGGAGAAAUUCCACUCAAGCUACCCUGCGUGGGCUCAUGAGUGUAUCCAUUUAUCUGUUAGAUAAUAGGUUGUGUUAUCUUUGGUUUACGAGAUUAGCUGGCUCUGAGACUAUCCAAAGUUAGGCAUGGGCAAAAUAAUCGGAACCGAAGAACCGAAUCAGAACCAAACUGAAAUAUCCGAAACUGGAAUCAGACCAAUACCUUCAAAUACCCAAACGGUUUCUAUAUUUUUAUAUCCAAAAUAACCGAAUCGAACCAAGAACCGAACGGGUACCCGAAUAUAUAAAAAUAUUAAUUAUAUACAUAUAACAUCAUUAAAUAAAUAUUUUUAAUUUAAAAUUCUAUUAAAAGUAUCUGAAAAUAGUUGAGGAUAACUAAAUUAUUAUAAAGUAUCCAAACUACUCGAAAGUAUCUGAAACUCUCCGGAUAGUUUUAUCCGAAAUAUCCAAAGUAAUCCGAAAUAUCUAAAUUUUUUAUCUAAAUCAUCCUAAUUAUUUGAUAUUUUACUCUAAAUAACCGAUAUUUUAUCCAAAUUAUCUGAACUAUCCGAACUAUCCGAACCGGAUCCAAAAGAGAAUCGAACUCCGAAUAUUUUCCGGUUCCUACAUUUACUAUCCAAACCGAACCGAACCCGAAACUAUCUGAACCGAACCGAACCAAAAAUAGGUCAAGUACUAAAUGGAUCCUCUAGCCCCUAUCUGAACUACCCGAAACCCGAAAUACCCGAACCGAACCGAACCGAUAUCCGAAAUGUCCAGGCCUAUCCACAGUGAUAAAACAAUUCAAUAUCCUCAUUUUUUCUUUUUAACGUUUCACAUUAUUUUUCACCUAAUUAUUCAAUAUUCAAUUCAUUUUUAACCUCUAAUAUAAUUUUAUUUAAUAAAAUUCAACACACUACUCCACUAUUUCUAAUUCAUCUUCUUUUUAUAUUUUAUAAUUCAAUAAUUAUAUAUUAUAUAAUAAGUUUGAUUAUAAUUAACUUAAAUAAUUUAAAUAAGAUAUUUUUUAUUAUUAACUUUUAAAAAAAUAUAUAAAAAGUAAUAUUAUUAAAACAAAUAAAAUUAGAAGAUUUAAAUACAUACAAUAUAACACACAGAACAACAAAUUAAAAACACACAACUUAUUUGGUACAAGAAACUCAAAUAAAAACACACAACUUAUUUUUUACAAUAAAUACAAUCAUAAACAACAAAUUAAAAUUUUGUAUUCAGUUAUUUAGACAGCCAAUAGAAGCCUCUGGGAGGAGACCUGAGGUUAGUCAAACAUUGUUCAUGUCGUCUUUCUUUUAUGUUUUUUAUUUGGCUUUACAUUUUGCAAAAACAUUUAUUUUUCAUGAUAUUUUUAAAAUUGUAUUAUUCCCGCUUCUUGUUUUCGUUCUUUUGGUUUUGAGAUUUUUUUUCUCAGAUUGACUUGAGAAAUUUGGGGUCUUGUGGAAUAAUGUUUUUGGGAAGCUGUUGAUGCUCUUUUUUUUUCACCAGAGGCUCACUCAUGACUCGGGUAAGAGACGACUCAGGGACUCACUCAAGUCUAGCUGUUCUGUUUUCUUUCAACGAAUUAAUAAUAAACUAUUUUUCAUUUUUCGUACAUUUAUUGCAAAUUGUUUAUUAAAUAAAAAAUAUUCUUUAAAGGAAAGUUCGUUAUUUUUUUGUGGGAAACGACUUUAGCUUAUAGGUCUUUCUUUAUGCUGAAUAAUAAUAAAAUCAAAAGUGACAGCUGUUGGGUACAAUAAUUAAAAGAAAAUAUUACAUUCAAGGUCACUUUCAUCUUUUAUAUUACACCACUAGACACUUUGCUCUCUUAAGACACUUUUCCUAAUUUCAAUGCACGUUUGUUUAGGUUUACUAGUUGAAACAUAAGUAAAUUGUAAUUAGUAGGUCCCAUUCUUUUUUUCUGUUUCUUCUUCCUCAAAAUUCUUUUCCAUAUCUCACUAGUUUGCUUUUACAAUUUUUUUGAUGUUUUGAUUUUUUUUUUCACUAACAGAAUUACAAAAUUUAAAAUAAAGCUUCACAGAUCUUGGUAUUCAAAUCCUAGCCAAUUUAACUAUAUUUUCUCUCAUAUCUUAUUAGAGAGUCAUUAGAUCUAGAAGAUGUAACUAAUGAGAGAGAGAAAGUUUGAUUUGCAGAAAAAACAAAAGAUGGAAGAAGAUGGGAUGCUGUUACCGUGAUAACAGUUUCUACGAUGCAGGGCCGGUCCUGGCUAAGCCCAUUGAAACAUUUGUCUUAGGUCCCUAUUUUUUAGAGGUCCCAUUUCUAGAAAAUCCAAUAUACAUUAUAAAACAAAAAAAAAAUUUAAUGAGAUCACACGAACUUGGCUAUAUCACGUUGGUUUAAGUUUUAACAACCAAAGUCCAUUUGAAUAGGCCAAAGAACACAAUAAUGUAAGUAGCCCAAUAAAUCAAAAAGAGUAAAAAUCCACAAAGCUAAAAAAAAUUUGGACUAACGUAUUUCAUUUUUUUUUUGUCUUCGACUCUUGCACUUGCUUUCCCUGUCAUAACUUGGAAGCCAAAAACACAAUUUCAAAACAGAAUUUCAUUACUCCUUGUCAAUUGCUUGUGUUUAUAUCAGAAGAAAAAUAUCGGCAUAAACUAUCAGUUCAUUUGUUCAUUUUUUUGUAUAGAAACUUAUGUUUUAUCAUUGGUUUAGUAUUUUAUAUAUGAACUAUGUUUAUAAGUUUGUUUUUGGGAUAUUUUUGUGAUGUAAGAUAUAGGCCCCUAUUUUUUAUUUCGUUUCAAGCCCCCGAAUUUUCAGGACCGGCCCUGCUACGAUGUCACCGAGAAUCGUGACAGAUUUACUCUGGCUGUGACUCUUAUUUGAACCACCGGAAACAGCCCAUCUUUAGACUCCGACUCAUCUUUCCCGGUGUCGUGACCUCACCUCUUGUCGUCUAUGUUCCGUCACGAGCUCGCGUCUCUGCUCCGUAGAAAGCAUCAAUGGCCAAUUUUUGCUUUUUUGCACAUUUGGUCCUUUAUUUUGUGUAAUUCAUUUCUGAUCUCAAACUCUUUAAUAGUACAAAUAACUCUUCGUAUUAACCCCUUUCUUCUUUAUUGUUAAUUCCAAAACCCUUCAUAAAAAUUGCAUGAAUGGUCUCUUGUCUUUUAAUUACUUUCAUUUCCGCCCCCCCCCCAAAAUUCUAAAAUAAACAAUUUUCUCUUUGAUUUCAUCUCAAACUUAUCAAUUGCAUACUCUAACCUAUGUUAAUGCAAUUUAACAUGCAUAUAUACACUAAAGACUUUUAAAGCCAAAUGUACAACUCAUGUCAGUCUAUCGUACUUUUGAACUUUGGGUUUCACUGAUCAAUUGUACAUGUAGAUGUUUGUGGGACUAUGUACAUGAUGAUUAUUGUACAUCUGGAUAAGCAAAUGUAUGUGUACACGUCUCAUUUGCCUAAACAUCAACAUAAUAAUUCAUUUGAAACUCCUUAAGAUAUUUGUUUCAUGUUGGUGCAGGGAUAAGGUAAAGAAAGCACUCUGGCCAAAGUUUUAUUUUGGAUUAAAUUAGAUUCCUCUUCACAAUCAACUUGCGAAUCAACUUCAUAAUGUUUUGUAUGCUUUGUAUAAUGAUACAAAGUUUCAUAUUCUUCUACCACUUUAUCUUUGAAUGGACUUUACCUAAUUUAUCAAUAUUGUACACAUUUACGGUAUCAUAUUUGUUGUACACAUGUACUCCACAAAAUAUUAAUGUACACACACUAGGGAUGUGCACUACUUUACAAUAUGUAUCCACAUUAGAUUUACAUUGUUUUGUGGACAUAUAAGAUUAUGAUAGAGAUAUACAGAAUGUCAUUAAGAUAAAAUAUAAUAUAUAUAUUGGACAUAUGACCAUUGGCAAAACAACAAGAGACAUUUUCCAUGAUGCUUUGUCCAUGCUUAUAUUUUUGAGAGGUCGUGUAAUCUUUAGCUCAUCAUUUGAUAGUGUAUAUGUCUUUUUUUUUUUUUUUUUGACAAAAGAUUUAAAAUGACUAUUUAUAUUUGUCUAAAAUUGAUAGUGUAUAUGUCAAACAUGCAAACACCUUUAGAUUUGUUCAAAAAAAAAAAAAAAAAUUACUAAUCAUGUGUUGGCGAGGUUCUUUGAUUGUGAUAUGUAAAUAGCAUGGAAACCUUCCAAAUGUAGCUUUCAGUGUAUAACACAGUGUAUCUGUGAAAUAUUUCUCCGCAAACCUUGUUCCAUCAAUCUGUAACGUGGGAGCAUGCUUCCAUGUAAAAAGAUUAUUGUUUUGUGUAUAAUUUGAUUUCGUACACUCCGCAUCGUGUACACAUGUACAUUGAAGGUCAAUAAAAAUAUGUGGCUAUAAUGUCACAUAUAGGUGGAUUAGGGUUGAUUACUCAAAAUGUCAAAAUAUAUAAUAAAAUAGAUCAAAUCAAACUAAUGAUAGGUGUACACAUUGUUAUGUGUGUUAUUUAUGUCUAAUGGUUGUAAUGUCAAACGACGACAGUGUAAAAAACAUACAAACGCCAGCGAGGACUGGAGCUUCGAAACAAGGCAUGGCGGUGGUGGAUCGAGCUAGGCACAGCUCAGGUAUUGUUGGUUGGAGAAGAGUACACGUUAUGAUAAAAUGGAGGACGUCGAGAAUGGAUCUUCACCGACAAAAGGAUGAAACACAAUAAAUCAAAGCUAACCAAACAGAAAAACAAAAAAAGUCAAAGAAAAAUAGUUUACUGUUUUUAUUCUGGGUUUCAAAACUUUAAAAGAUUUAAAAAAAAAAAAAAAAAACUUUAAAAGAUUUAAAACAAAAGUAAAGAGAAAAGAAACAAGAAACUUUUGUGGGCCAAGGGUAACAAAUCAAAAGCUAAAUAAAUACACAAGGGUGACGAAAAAAAGGUUUAUGGUUUCACUUUUUCAGGGUCAGCAGAGUCUUUAACCACCUAAAACUAUCCAAGUAGCACAAAGUGAUCUUCUAUGUAAUUAAAAGUCAAAAACUGAACUGCAGUGUAAAUCACUCUAAUUAAAAGUUCAUGUUAUCAGAAGUUGAGCUAGCGUCGUUUAUGGAUAACUAGACCCUGGUCCGCGCGCCAGCGCAGAUAUGAAUUUUCGGUUUUUAAUUAUUUAUUUUAUAAAAUAUGUAUUUGUAAUAUUUGUUUAUAUUAUAUUUAUUAAGUAAAUAUAUUUUUUUUUGCAUCUUAACCUAUUUAUUUAUUUACGAAUGUGUGAUAUCAUAUAAAAAAUAUAAAAAAUGAGUAUAGAGUUAAUUAGAUAAUUUUAAAAACAGAAAUUUUUCUUUCGUGUGCGAUAUCAUAUAAAUAAUGAUCCGCCCAGUUAACAAAAAUCAUGAUUAUUUUAUGUGUAAUUUUUUUUAUUUUGACCAUUUCCUUAAAACUAUAUUAAAUUUUACAUAUUUUAAUUAGAAUAUUUUUAAUAUCUUUACCUUUUUAUUUGAAAUGCAACUCAAUAUUUUUUUAACAAUUAUAACAAAAUAUUUAAAAAAUAUUUUUAGAAUUUGUUUGAAAAAUAUGAAAAUUACAUUUUAAAUUAAAAUUAUCCUAAAAUAUGAUAAGUUUUGAUGUAAACGAAAACUCAAAUUAUGUCAAAAAUAAUGAUAUUCAAUGAUAAUAACAAUUUUAAUUGAUUAUUUUUUAAAAAAUACAUUUACAAAAAUAUUGUUCGAAAGAAAAUUCAUUUAUCUUUCAAAUAUAAUAUGAAAAUAUUAUAAUUAAAUAAUAAAAAAUAUAAAUAAAAACCAUAAAUUUAGCAAAUGACAACUGACUUAUAUUAUGUUAAAACUUUCUUUCUAACAAUUUAUCAAAUGACAAAUGAGUUAUGAACAAAUAAUACCAUAUAAUUUUUAAAAACAUAGCCACUCUUAAAUAUUUUUUGAAUAAAUAAUUAUUUUAAAAUUUAAUCAACUGAAAAUAAUAUCCGUACAAUUGUGUGAGUCAAAUUCUAGUUUUAUUGAUGCAUGUUAUAUAUUAGUGCUGCAUGUUUUAGGUAACAUUUUAAUGAUGCACGUUUUUAAAAAUCUCCAUUAUUAAAAUUAUGCACGUAAGGAUAACUCAUGAGUUUUUUUGGUUGAUUAAAUGACAUUAUGUCCAAAUUUAUUUAAGGAUAUUUCAUUAAGGUAACUGAAAAAGACAAACAAUAAAAUAGGAAGUUUAAAUUCAUUUAAGCAUAUUUCAUUAAUGUAACUGAAAAGACAAGUAAUAAAUUAGACAGUUUUAUUCGUUUUAGGAUAUUUCAUAAAUGCAACUGAAAAAGACAAGCAAAAAAAAAGGGAGUUUAAUUAAUGAAGUAAGAACAUUUUCAAAUGGGUACUUCUCUUUUAAUAAUAUAGAUACGUUAAUCAACUAAAAUCCAAUUUGAAUCUUUAAUACCAUGAUUAAAAAUCCCAAGAGCAUGAUUAUAUUUUGUUUAUAUAUUGUAUUCCCACCAUUUUUUUUAAUAUAAGUCAUUUUAGAAUUGUGCACAUAGAUUAAGAAAAUCAUUAUUUUUUAUAUUUUCUAAACAAAAACAUCAUUAAUUAUUUAUUUAACCACAAAUCAACUAAUAAUAAAAUAGAAGGUAUAUUAUUAUUGAUCAUAUAAUAUUAAGUGUUAAUAAAUUUUACAUAGAAAACCGAGAACGUCAUAUAAUUUGGAACAUAAAUAUUUUUUCAAAAACGACUUAUAUUAAAAAACGGAGGGAGUAAUAGAAUUUUCGGUACAUUACUUUAAGACUGCCCACUCGUUAGUCUUAUCUUUACUCAAGUCUGUAUUUUUAAUUGUUUGUUCUCUGUUUAAAUCAUUUUAACGGUUAAAUAAUAAUAAUAAUAAUAAUAAUUUUAACAUUUAUGUCAUCACUUUCCUAGAUUCUUUUAAGCAUUUCGAUCAUUAGGAGAAUUGUCUUAUGGAUCUCACGAACUAACCAAGCUCACAAAAAUGAAUGUAUCAGCCAAGCAGAAGAUAAACAAGGAUAUGAGCUACAAUGCAGAUGAUAUAAUUGCUGGAAAUGAUACAAUAGAUGCAAACAGUUCAAGAUAUUAUUCUUUGAAACGACAAAAGAACACAACAAAAGCAAACGGAGGAAACUAAUGUUGCUGCCGGUUAUUAGAGGAUCACUUGCCUAUAACCAGUUUAGCUCUAGCAUCUCCUUGGUUGAUCUGGAACUGAUCUCCUAGUCCAAAAUGAGCCAUCAACAGCCACACAAAGCUGAUGAGUUCUCCACCUUUGCUUAGCUGAGCUGCGUGUUCUAUAGCGCCACACUUAGUUGCUGCAUAACAAAGCAACUCAGCCCACACUUUGUUCACUACUUCCCACAUGUAUGCCUCUCCCUUGGCCUUCUUCAAGCCAUCCUUUAACUCUGGAAGCUCUUUUAAACCCUUAAGCUCUUUGGCCAACAUGCUCCCAUCAAACAGCACCGACUUGCUUUUAUCACCUUUCACGUCAAUAGGUUCAGCUUUUGUCGGAGCCGUCACAGAUAAAAUCGCCUCACUAGCCAUCUUUAUGUCUCUGGAUUCGAUAUGCCUUCUCUUGAAAAACCUCUUAGCCUCCUCGCAUGUAUCCCUGAAUCUUAUCUUUCCAAUACCCACAACAGCUGACAUCAAAGUAGGUUGCAUCAUCAUGAGGUACAUCAUGUAGUCUGAAAGGAUUUUACUAAACUCACGAUCACUAUGACUCUCUUCAGUGGCUGGUUCUGAUUGGUAUAAGAGCUCAGUUGCAAUAUGCCACACAAGAAGACUCUGAUCAUAGUCCAUUUCCAUCACAUAGCGUAGAAGCCUCUCACGCUUUUUCUGUGUCUCUCUGUCUUCACCUUGUAUGUCACGCUGACUCCAGUCACCUCUAGCUGAAGAGACCCUCAUGGUGCUUUCCGAGUCGUCAGCGAAACGGGAUUUAUUCAAAACCUCUCCAAAUAUAUGCUCCCACAGAUCAAGAGUGACACGAUCACUUGAUGUGUAGAUAAUCUCCUCAAACUGAGCUUGUAUCCCAAAGAAGUCCAUGAACUUUCUUGUCAGAUAACCAAGAAGAUGAAAAAUGACGAACGUCCAAUAGAUCCAACUCCUAAUAUAAUCUUCCUUUAACCAUUUUAUGUUCUUGCAUAAAACACUUAUUUUUCAAACCACUUGUAAACAUUAUGACCCACUUGCUUUAUACUGUGGAAACAGAAUGCAAUUGCUUUUCCAAUGGCUUCAAAGACAACUCCAAUGCAAAAAACCUCGAUAAACCAGUCAAAGGACAUGUGUAUGAAACCCUUGGUGUGAUGGAUCCGCUUCGGCGUUAUCGAAAGACAGUACUCUAGCAAGUUGUGUGCAUGUACGUACUCUGACCGCCUACGUACCAUAAAGAAAGUGUCAAGGACUUCAUGACACGUCUUGUCCGUUCUAUCCUUCUCAACGUCUUCGUCCUUCUUCAGCCUCAUAAAAAUGAGAAUUGGCUUUAUAAUCUUGUCGAACCAGUUAACUUUGUUGUCCUCAUCCUUAGACGGUUUGAAGCAUUUGUACUUCUCCGUCUUCAAUCCCCUGGCCCCAAGAAUCCAGUUAAGAAAGUUGUCCAACUUAGUGUCAGGAUCAUCAACCUCGUCCUUCAUCUUCCUCAGCCUGACAAAGGUCCAGUCAGACAGACAUAACAUAAUAAGAGCAAUGCAAUCCAGAGCUAUUCCUCCUAUCAGCAAUGCAUAAGUAAGGCCAACAUCGAAUCUUCCAUAGUCUUUCUUGUCUUUGUAUUGGAAGAUGCGGAGCGCUGCUAUAAGGCAUCCAAGAGCAAUGAAUCUGAAGAUGACUCCUAUCCAAUUAUGAAGAAUCUCAGCUUUUGUGUAAAGAGCUUCGUAGAUGAAGUUGAGCUCAACCUCCAAGAUUCUUAGCGCUUCAUCUGGUUUUAGUUCGCUAAAGAAUCGCUUGCUUUCAGCUCAUUGUUGAAAGGUGAAGGUAAGAUCAACCACAAGACCUUUGAAGAUGUUGAAGUACUUAUAAGCAUACUGGAGAAUAUUAAGCUCAGUGAGGUCGUCAGGCUUAACCUUAGCACCGACUUUUGGAUCUUUCUCAGACUCCUCGAUCUUGAUAAUCUGUGUAGGCAUCUUCAUAACCUUCUUAGCCGCGUAUUCCUCCAUGAGCUUUGCGUAGUUUGGGCCAUGAUCAGGUCGUAGAAUCAUGGAAUCUUUAAACUUGUCAAGACUAGCUAGGUAUAACGCUAAUGUCCUCUCAACAUACUUGAUCACUCCUGUCGCAGAAACCAGCAAAAUGGGUCUCCACAGAUCAUUUGGUAACGACUGUAAAAACACGUAGACGGUGGCGAUUGCUUGAAAGGCAAGACCCAACAAGUGCCUAAGCCAGAGCUCAUUAUCUUCAAGCGCAAGGGAAGUGAUUGUAUCUGUACCACCAAGAUGCAAGAGCAAAAAAGGAACCCAAAAAGCUAAGAGUUUACUGUUAUUUUUAGGUUCUCCGGGUUAUGCAUCGUCUCCUUGCCUAUCAGAGAUUUUUCUCGCUGCGAAGUUGGCUGCCCAAUCGGCAAGAAGAUAAGCUGACCUGAUGAGAGAGAGUAGUACCUUUCUGGAUGUGCGUUUCUUUUGAGGUGCAAAGAAAAUGAGAAACGAUUGGAGGCUGAGACUGAAGAUUAAGGUAGUUCGGAUACUCCAUGCGUCCCAUAUGUCUUUGAUAGGCUUUGGGAUUGCGUCCACCAUCUUGAAACAGAGUUAUUUCCUAAUUUGUUGGAACAGACAAGAAAUUAUGGUCUUU
rnacentral:lncRNA from 1 species